ensembl:lncRNA
GGCCUUUGCUUUGAGUGCAUCCUGAUCUGGACACUGCGUUCUGUGACCUCAUCUCUCAUCUCCCUCCUGGGCUGCAGCCUGCACUCCACAGCCUUAUCAAGGACCGACCCUCCCUGCGGGAGUGAGGACAAGGCUGGAGCCAAGAACAACCUGUAGUUCUGCACACAGCCGCUGGAGUUGCCUGCCGAAUGUGCUCCCAAAGGAAACGUCAGAGUCAGCAGGAGCUGAG